UACGUAGGGUGCAAGCGUUAAUCGGAAUUACUGGGCGUAAAGCGUGCGCAGGCGGUGAUGUAAGACAGUUGUGAAAUCCCCGGGCUCAACCUGGGAACUGCAUCUGUGACUGCAUCGCUGGAGUGCGGCAGAGGGGGAUGGAAUUCCGCGUGUAGCAGUGAAAUGCGUAGAUAUGCGGAGGAACACCGAUGGCGAAGGCAAUCCCCUGGGCCUGCACCGACGCUCAUGCACGAAAGCGUGGGGAGCAAACAGG
rnacentral:rRNA from 1 species